rnacentral:lncRNA from 13 species
GAACCAGCCAGAACAGGAGGCAGCCAGGGAGAGAGGAGGCAGGAAGAAUGCAGUCCUGGAAGGAGAGGGCCUGCUGGGAAGAACAGAACCCAGCUGCCUUGGCCCCAGGAACAGAAUGCAGUGACAGUAAGUUUCCUGGAGGAGACAGAGACCACAUAAUGGAAGAGGAACAGCAAAACUCCAGGGACAAGGCCCCCAAAGAGUGCGCCACUGAUAUUUGGCUGGACUUAAGAGAGAGAGAGUCUACGGGAUGCCACCAGCCCUGCAGCAACCCUGUAAGGGCCUCAUGUGGCCGACUGUGGGUGCCAGUGCCUUUUCCCCCACAGGCAAAGACCGAAGCCCAGAAAAACCACUUUUGGCUUAAAGGCCACCUGUAAAUUUCCAGUUCCAGGCUGCACCACGCGGCCGACAGGCCUGGCUCCAGCCAUAGCCGGGAAGGAGCCAUUUCCCAUAACGUUCAAGACUCCUCUGCAGUUCACAGCUUGACCUGGCUCUCUUCCCUGUGUGCCAGCUCCUCAUGGUCAUUGAUCUGCAGAUGGACUUGACUGUCCUUCAUGCACACGUUUAUGAAGCACUGGUCAGAGUGGUGUCGUCUGUGGCCCUUGGACAGAAUUUGUGUGCCUAGCGGCAUGGCCUAUCCAAGACCAAGAUGGUGGAAAUUAUCCACUCGUUACUUGAAAGCCUGAACAGGACUCGACUCAUGGCUGCUGUGAUCUAAGCACCAGCGGGAGCAUCAAGAUGAUACAGAUGUGUCCGUGUCCACAAAGAGCAUCUGCGUCCUUGCAGAAAGAGAAAGGCAGUUGCAGAAACGUAAUACAAAGUAGAAAAUAUCUGUGCCUCAAAAGAGGUGAAGAUAGUGUGCAAAAGAGAUGAAGAUGUGCUCUGGGAAGACUGCUGGAGCUCUGGGGCAAGAAGGAUGAGAGCAGAUGGCUUUGUAGGUCAGUGCUACUCGCCAUCACGGAGUGCUGGCGAGGAACUCACAGUCCUCACAAGAUCUCUCUUAGUGGGAGACAGAGGAGCAUAGUGGUAAGAAGCACGGGCCUUGGAGUUGGCCCACUGGUUUCAAAUUCCUCUUCUAUUUUCUAGCUCUCUGAACUUACCAGUUUUAAAUGAGAUGAAAGUAGCUCAGUGCCUGGCACAUAAACGAAUGGUUGUUAUCAGUUCUCAAAUGAACUAUCACAUACCCUCAGAUAACACAUCACAAACUCCAGGAUCCACAACGACAGGACUAGAACUGUGGACUCUUCUGGUUCCCCAGUGAUCUGUAAUUCAUGUUGAAUGGUGAGAAGAGAGGAUGGAGCAGACAGACCCACACAGGCCUGUAUUCAACUCCACACCUCCUCUCUGGUGGCCUUAGUGAGGCAGGGAAGGCUCACCAGAAUCCCUGCAGCCAGCCCUCCAUCUCGCCCUGAUAUCUCUGCCUGGUUCGUGAUGCUGUCCCGGCCUUCCUGCAAGCCUUGGUCUGGGGCUGACCUUUCACCAGAUGAAAUGGACCCCUUCAAUGAUUGAGGAAGAGAGAGGCUGACUCCUGCCUUCUGUGGCCUGUCAUUAGGGGCCAGUCAGCAGCCUAGGGACAUGCAAAGGUUUACAGCCCUUUAACUCUUGGUUCUCCUUACUUUGCCAGCUCUCCCCCAGGUAUCUUACGAGCAGAGGAGGCUUCUAGUGUGAAGCUAGCUCCUCCACAACUUAAGACAUUUUGUCACUGGUUGGCACUCUCCUUCCAGCUGUUUGCUACCAUAUUCUCAUCUGUAAGAGGUAUAUUUUAAAGCCUCAGCAAGGAAAGAAUUGUCGGGCUUUGCUCUGUGUUUUGCAGUUGCCCUUAUUUUAGCACUAAUCUCAAAGUCAUUAUCUGUGGCUGAGGCUGCUUCCACUGAAGUCCUCAAGGGCCAGAUCUGUGUCUGAUUCAUCUCUGUGCUCCCAGAAUUGAGUACAAGGCCUGGUACGGGGGGAGGGGGUGCCCCAUGAAUAUUUUGAGGGGUGGAUGGAUGGAUGGCAUAGUUCAUCCAUUUGGGCCUAGACACUUGGGAACUCACAUCACAUCAGGAAACUGUCCCAGUUUCUCAUCCUUGGACCUAAUCUACGUUAUUGCCUAACAUUCCCCCAUCUGACAGUUCAUCUCUUCAAAUUCAUGAUUUAUCUUCCUGGCCUCCCAGAAUUUUGUUUCUCUUUUAAAAUCAGCUGGUCAGCAGUUCAUUAGUUCCAUGAAAGUGUUUGCAGGAUUUUCAGAAUGUGUGGGUACCGUUUCCUGGUGGUGAGGGUUACCACUAGCUUUCAUCAGAUUUCCAAAGGGGCUGUGACAAGAAGAAGUGAAGAAAUACUGUCAGGAUAGAGGGCUGGAUGCAGAGACUUUCUGGAGACCCUGGGUCAUCAGUCCUCUCAUUUAUAGAAGGGAGAGAACAGCACUCAGCGCUGUCAGAAUUUGGUGGUUUUUGGAGUUUCUUCAAAUUAUAUUGGGUCUCUUACAUCCACCCCUGAGCGCACACUGGAACUUCCUGGAAGGAUUUCCAUUGCUCUUGAAGCCUUCCUGUGGCCCACGUGGCCCUCCAUGCCUGCUCACAGCUCACUCUCCUGUCUCUCCUCUGGAGCCACAGCUCUUACUGUCUCGAGUGACCCUUGCUUCUUCCCAUCAUGGGAUCUUUGCACUUUGUGCUCCCUCUUCCUGGAAUGCUUUCUCAGAGGCACUGCCCUCAUUCCCACUUUGCCUGAGUAACUCUUGCUUUUCCUUCAGAUCUCUGCACACUUACCUCUUCUUCAAGGAUGACUUCCCUGACCAUCCCGACUAGACCAAAACCCCCCUUCACAGGCCCUAGAGCACUGGAAGCUGCUUCAGCACACUACUGAAGUAGUUUUAUAAUUUUAUAUUGACUUCUGUGGUUCCUUAUUUGGUGUCCGGCACCACCACUGCAUUGUGGCUCCAGGAAGGCAGGGUUUUUCCUCUGCGUUCUAUUUCCAGGAUGUGGCACAAUAUUUAUACAUAAUAGGGGCUAAAUAAACGGGUGUUAGGAGCAACA